rnacentral:rRNA from 1 species
AGCGAACGCUGGCGGCAGGCCUAACACAUGCAAGUCGAACGAACCUUUCGGGGUUAGUGGCGGACGGGUGAGUAACACGUGGGAACGUGCCCUUAGGUUCGGAAUAACUCAGGGAAACUUGUGCUAAUACCGAAUGUUCUCUUCGGGGCAAAGAUUAAUCGCCUUUAGAGCGGCCCGCGUCUGAUUAGCUAGUUGGUUGAGGUAAUGGCUCACCAAGGCGACGAUCAUUAGCUGGUCUGAGAGGAUGAUCAGCCACAUUGGGACUGAGACACGGCCCAAACUCCUACGGGAGGCAGCAGUGGGGAAUAUUGCACAAUGGGCGAAAGCCUGACGCAGCAAUGCCGCGUGAAUGAUGAAGGUCUUAGGAUUGUAAAAUUCUUUCACCGGGGACGAUAAUGACGGUACCCGGAGAAGAAGCCCCGGCUAACUCCGUG